CUGGUGAACUGGGAUGCUAGGUCCCAGAGCUAUGCAUUUGGUGGUGAGUCAUUUGGCUGGUAAAUCAGUCAUGAGAAUGAGCCAGGAGAGUUCUCCCACUCCUACAGCUUGAAGAUAUAGAAGAUGUCUACCUAUAGACCAGGAAGUGACUUUCUCACAAGUCUCCAUCUUCUUUGGCCUUGAUAAUAUGCUUCCAGCCUCCAGAAUCAUAAAACAACAACAAAAAGGUUUGUUAUAAACUACUCAAUUUACAUUAAUUUACAAUGUUUGUUCUAAGAGGUAGCUAUAAAUAUAGCAGAGAAUUCCAAAAUUGACGUUGACUAUACUCUAUUGACCCCACUUUCUUCUAGGAUGUCACAGGAAGUGAUUUGGAACAGAGCAGCUCUGCUAAGGAUUUGAAGCAGGGACAUGACAGUUUCCAACUCUGGGGCUUCCUUAUACUGGGUUGGCAAGGAAGAUCAUAGUCUCCUUGGGCCCAUCAUUCUCAGAUCUUCUCAGCAGGGGUUUCUCCCUGCAGCCCAGUGUUCGAUGUGCCCCAGGGAUGAUUAAUGUUAAAUGAAUAAAGGAUGAAUGAACAAGUC
rnacentral:lncRNA from 1 species